AUGGAGACACGGAGACAAUGCAAUUACAGGCUGGAUUGCUCCCAGGCACCCGCCAGGUCUCGGCUGACAGGCUGGGUUCAAGGACUGCUCUCGGUAGAAGGGCCUGGUCCACAAGGCAGGUCCCAACAUGAACUUUCUGCAAGGGGCUUACUCCUGGAAAUACCAGAAAGACUUUGCCAUUACACCAUCUCACUUAUAACACAGUCCUGUAGAAAACGUGCCAAAGACAGCAUCAUGAAGAGAUUCUGGUGGGAUUAAGGACAAGUGAUUGAUGUAAACAAAUAUUUUCCUUAAAAAGGUCUUCAAACUUAAAAGCCCCAAACACAAAGCAUAAAGAGGAUGCUGCUCUUCAUGAUCCUGACCCACAAGACCCUAAAGCUUUAAAAUAUGUAUCAUAUUUGUUCAUUAUAAUUUUAAAAAUCAUUAAAACCACACUCUUCCCCUCUUUCCUUCCCUCCUUCCUCCCUCUCUGGGCCAACUCCAUGCCAGCAGCCACCCCAAACAGCCACUUUCUAUGGGGAUGGGGGGAACUUUCUCCCCUGGCCUUCCCUCUUUAUUGGGGUUGCUCCACAGCCCAAAGGGCUUCAGUAAAGCCAACAACUCCAUUCUUUCCACUAGCAGUCCUUCUGACCACCUCCUCUGAUGUCCCCCGUGAUUGUCAUCUGCAUCGACUUCUAUAAUAUAACCUAAGGACCUCGGGGGCUUGCCAUUCACCCCACGGGGAACUCUCAGGGUUUCUGGAUCUGUCCACAUGCUUUGCAUCCAAACUCUUUUCCAUGUUGUCUUCCCUAAUUUGAAUGUGAGCUCUUUGGGGUCAGAGAUUGUCUCAAUAUUUCUAUUUGUACCCUUGGCAUGACACAUAGUUUAAUAAGUAAAGGCUUUUCUCCUCAUUCCUUUAUAAUAUGGGGGGGGGGACCACUUCCUAUCCAUUCAGAGCUUUCAAUCUAAAGGAAAAAAUAUAUGCGUGGAAUGGCAGGCAAUCUGGGAGGAGAGAGGGGCCUGGAUAUAGGGGAAAUUUUAGGCAAUUAGAAAACAAAAGGUCCGGGUUAAAAAAAAUUAUUUGUAAAAGGAAAGAAAAAAAAUGAGGUAUGAGAAUGAAUACACAAACAUCCACGCCACAUUUACAAGAUAAAACCACAUGGUUCUAUUUCAUGGAAAAAGAAGUCCGAGGGAAUUGGUUGCUCACAAGAAACGAUAGCUCGGUUAAGUCCUGCAUCCAUACCCAUAUCUAGCCUGAUGCUAGCUCUCUUCUUUAUAGCUCCUUUCAUCGAGUGUUUCAAUAAUAUCUAAGUGAAGGCGGAAAUUGUCCCUAUCUAAGGGAAAGCUGAGCCUCAGUGGCUGAGCGGUGUUUGAAGAGGAAAGACAGCUGAAUUUUGCAGACAGCAGUUUGUGCCCUGCAGUUAUAAAAAUGUCAUUUGACUUGCAAACUGGAUCUGGAAGUCGUUGAUGGAGAAUAAAUGGAGCCAUGAUGUCA
rnacentral:lncRNA from 1 species